GGUGAGGUAGUGGCUCACCAAGGCGACGACGGGUAGCCGGCCUGAGAGGGCGACCGGCCACACUGGGACUGAGACACGGCCCAGACUCCUACGGGAGGCAGCAGUGGGGAAUAUUGCACAAUGGGCGAAAGCCUGAUGCAGCGACGCCGCGUGAGGGAUGACGGCCUUCGGGUUGUAAACCUCUUUCAGCAGGGAAGAAGCGAAAGUGACGGUACCUGCAGAAGAAGCGCCGGCUAACUACGUGCCAGCAGCCGCGGUAAUACGUAGGGCGCAAGCGUUGUCCGGAAUUAUUGGGCGUAAAGAGCUCGUAGGCGGCUUGUCACGUCGGUUGUGAAAGCCCGGGGCUUAACCCCGGGUCUGCAGUCGAUACGGGCAGGCUAGAGUUCGGUAGGGGAGAUCGGAAUUCCUGGUGUAGCGGUGAAAUGCGCAGAUAUCAGGAGGAACACCGGUGGCGAAGGCGGAUCUCUGGGCCGAUACUGACGCUGAGGAGCGAAAGCGUGGGGAGCGAACAGGAUUAGAUACCCUGGUAGUCCACGC
rnacentral:rRNA from 1 species